CAGAAGUCCUUCUGUCCGUAAAGCACAGCGCAACAAGAGAGAAACUUACAGACUUGUGUGUUCUUUGGAGGACAAUGACAAUGACACAGAUGAGGAAAUGAAUCACUGGAGCAGUAGAUGCCGGCCUGAGAGGACGUCAGAGAAGAUGCACUCUGAUUGGGCGAAGAUGAAAGAGCGGCUCUCCACACUCCGACAAAAAUGUGAAAAGGAGGAGCAGACACUACAGAACAAGAAGACUCAGUUAAAAGAUGUUGAGCUCUGCCUCUCCGAACUUCAACAGAGAAGAAAGCAUGCCUUGCAGGAAUUAGAGCAACUGACUGUAGAGACAGCAAAGAUGGAGAAGGAGAGGAGGACUCUGGAGUUCAUUCUGAGAGACAGUAGGGCAGGGAAAGACUCUAUUAGUUGCCAGCUGCAUGAGCUGCAGAGGCAGAGAGAGUCCUGUACCCUCGAGGUGAGAGACAUGAAAGAAGAACUCGCAACUCUGAGUCAAAGUAAACAGACUCUUAAGGAUUCGGCCUUCACGGAGAGGCCCAGUGUCGUCAUGUCAGUGCUGGAGAGAGAGGAGAUGGAAAGACAGCUGGAUAAUGCCAAAACAGAACUGUUUGCUGAACAGCGACGUGCAAGAGAGAAGCAAGAGUCCAUGCAAGAAAAGUUGGAGGAGACUCGUGAGGAGCUCCAGAGGGUUACAGAGGCAGAGAGCUUACUGAGGAACAGCUGUGUUUGUCUGGAGGAGAAACAGAGGCAGAAAAAGGAUCACAUCGAGGCGGUAGAGUUUCAAGUAAGCGAGCUGCAGGGUGAACUGGGAGAAUGCAAGAUCAGAGUGGGCACUCAGGAGAAGAUGUUGGCCCAGAAGGAGCUGCAGCUACUAGAUUUACAGGAGCAACGUGGGGCCUUACAAGCAGAAAGUGAUGGGCUGAAGGGGGAGCUACAACACCUGAACACCCAGCACUGCAAUGCACGGAAAGAGGUCCAUGAGCAAGCUCAUAGAAUGAUGGUAUGUGCUGUGUUUUUUAAGACUACAAGUCAUGUUUUUUG
rnacentral:lncRNA from 1 species